GAGCUAUCAUCGAUGAGAAGGAAAUGGUGCGGUGUUUGGUGAAAGGAGAGAUUGGAGGUGCUGGUUUGGAUGUGUUUGAGGAUGAGCCUGAAGUUCCUGAAGAGCUCUUUGCAUUGGACAAUGUUGUACUGUCACCACAUUAUGCUACCUACACACCAGAAUGUUUCAUGGCUUUGUGUGAACUAGUAGCAGGGAAUUUCGAAGCUUUCUUCUCAAAUAAACCGUUGCUUUCACCGGCUGUGGAUAAUUAAAUAGAUUUCUAUUUGCAGGUUAGAGUCUCCAUGACUUUUUGCAUCAUCUUGCAUGCCAUUUUGGUUUGUUUCCCUGGGAAUGGUUCAUACAGAAACCACUUGCAAUGGAGCUUGAGCCAUUUCUGUUCUAAUGUUUCUUCUAGUAAGGUUCGUGCACUUUUAUGAAUCGAUGCAGGGGACCAAAUGUUGAUGUGAUGAAUGGGGCUAUUAGAGAGUACAAAGAUGAAGAACUGAGGUGUUAUCGUUACUGGUAUAUUUGAGAGUUGUAUGAUCUGCAUGCAGCAGACGGUGUAGAUUUGCUUGCCAAAUAAAAUGAUUGUUAACUCAAGAGGAUGCUUGUUUGUAUAAAAUGCUUUUUGGUCCAGCUUCCUUGAGCAGUUGGAAUAUAAGUUCUAUGCUCCCGUUACACGUCUCCGCUUUCUUCCUAUCUAUUUCCUCAUGUGAGUCACAUGAGGAGAGAGAUGGGAAGAGACAAAGGGGAGAUGUGAGGUGCAAAAUUAUUUGUAGGAUUUUCUUAGACACUUUUGUUGUGAAAUACAAUCAGUUUGACAAUCACAAUUAUUUUGCUGACACUGGAAAUGAAUAUUUUGUGUCAUUUCAAUUUUUGCUCACUCAGAAAUUAAAAUUAAGUCAUAUAUAAAGAUGAGUUUAAAAGAUGUAUUAUGUCUAUAUUUGACACGGUUCAUUAGUUUUCUAAAUCUACAUUACGAUAUUAUUUUCUAUAUUGAGUGAAAAUAUUGAAGGAAAUUAAAUUGAUGAAUUUUGAGGAAGUUUUGCUUUCUUCCAUUCCUGGUUUUGAAUAUUUUGUGGCCGUAUAAUUUUGAUGAUUUCUUUAUAGCAACUGCCGCAUUUCUCUUCUUACGAGGGGAGUUCGUGCUGUGACUUUUCUUAUAGUCAUUUUGAGGGGACUGACAAUUCGCUGCCAUUGGGGAGGACUAGAAGGAAGCUUCAGAGAGGUAAAUGAAGAAAUUAACGUGCUCUUUACUUACUGGCCUACAAAAUAAAACACACAAACACAAAUAUUUAUCAAUUUUGGUUGAUGCAAAAGUUGUAAAAAUUCUAAAAAAUUAUUUGAGAUCAUUUAAAAAUACGGGUUACAUAAGCGUAUCCGGACAGUAGGGAUGAGUAGUGGUCAUGUUGGCCCAACAAAAGUGAUGGUCAUGCGCGAACUACCAAUAUGUACCCAUGCCUCAUUUAGGUUCCAGCGAAGAUAAGGUGAGAAGAACGAAAUGCGUCUCGGGGUUUUAGAGAAGAGAAGGUGAGAAGAAUGUUGACCUCAAUCCCAUUCCAAAUAAUCUUAAAAACCCAUUGGUUGAAACUGAUAGGUUGGAUAUGAUUUUAGAAGACAGUUGAAAGUGUUCAAACAAAUGUCACUCCUUAAUCGAAACAUUGUUUUGUGGUUUGUGUUAGAUAUUGUUUUUUCUUGUUGGGGUAACAACGAUCAGUUAUACAAUUAUUUAAUCCUAAUAGUUAACUAAGCACAACAAUAGUAAAAUAAAUAAAUAAAACGAAAUUUAAUAAAACAACAAAGAAGCCAUGACUGUUUCUGCAACGUAAAGAGCUUCUAUUGCACCUUCACCUUUUAUUUCGUUUUUGUAGAAAUGUACUUAUACCUCAGUUUCAAUUUGUCAUAAUACAGAAAAAUUUCAGAGAAAUGACAUCAUAAUUUUUCAAAAUCUAUGAUUUGUCAUCCGACUUUAAUACCAUCAAAUUUUCCAUAUAUUUUUAAGGGUAUUUUAGUCUUUCCAUUUUCAAGGAUAUUUUAAAAAUGGAAAAAUCAUUAUAAUAAAAAUCAUAUAUCUUUUAAAUAAUUAAAAUUGAAGCAAAAAGUCUCAUCUUAUCCCUUGUGUGCCACCGGCGGCUCCAACCAACCGUGCCCAUCUUGAAAUCCAUUCCCCCUUCCCUCUUCAUAGCCCCUUCCUCCAUUGCCCCUUCUCUCUCUACCAUGGAACAACCACAUCUACACACAAAUUCCCUUAUCCCACCCAAACCGAAUCUACAUUCUUCUUCUUCUUUUUUAAAAUUGUAGACAUGCUCAAUGAACACCAUUAAAAAAGAAGAAGAAAGUGGUUGGGGGCGGGGGAGAGAGAGAAAGGGGGGAGAGGGUGGUCCUGUGCGAUGUGUUUUUGGUGCGGGUGUUGUUGGGGUUUUUCUUGAAAAUGAAAAGACUAAAAUACCCUUAAAAAUGGAUGAAAAGUUGGAUGGUGUUAAAGUCAGAUGAUAAAUGAUGAAUUUUGAAAAAUUAAGAUGACAUUCAUCUUAAACUUUUCUUUAAAGUGAUAAAUUGAAACUGAGGUAAGUUUAAACGAUAUUUCUACAAAUAUCCCUUUUCUUUUUCUAAACUUUUGCUCAAAACUUAGCGAAAAAGAAAAUCCACCACCCAUACAAUGACACUUAACCGACAAAAUCCAAAGAAAUAUCAAAAGACUACAGAAAACAUGAGGCUCAUCUACCAACCCGCGCAUCGGCAACAGUGGGCAUUCAUAAUUCAUUGAAUAUAUCAUACCAUCUUCAGCUGCUAUUUGCAGCACUUCACUAAUUCCUUCCCUAUUUUUCACGUGGUACAAAAAAUGAGCAUGAUUUAGUGAAAUAUUCAUCUAGGCCUUCAAAUGUUUUCCGCAUUCUCUGUUUGGGUAAGGUAAUCUAUAAUUUCUCGUAAGGAAAAAUGCUAAAGUGAUUACAUUGCUUGAUAAUUAAUAAUGAUGUUUACUUGUGCAUAAAUUAUUAUGAUAAAUUAUUCAGUGACACGUUUAUCCAGAUAGUUAAUGUGGUUUUUUUUUUUUUUAAAAAAAAAGGGAGAUUCACUAUUAUACCCAAUAUGAGGGCUCAAAUUAUAAAAAUACCCUAUUUGAAAUGGACUUUAGAAACACACCCAAAGCCCAUUUACAACAUAACAAAAAAGCUUUUAACUUCUUAUAAAUUACAAAACUGCCAUCAAUUUCUUAAAAUAAACCUAACUCCAAAAUCUCAUAAAAAUACCCAAAACACUUAAUAGAGCAUCAAAGUAAUUUAAUAAUUAAUAUUAAAUUCAAUAAGGUCUGCUGUCAUUUGUUGGGUUUGUUUAUAGAAAUUCAAUUGUGUAGAAUUUAUUUAUAAUAUUAGUGCUAAAAAUGGAUAUAUCACUAAAUAUCUCAACAAAAAAAAAGUGUUAUUUAAUUUAUGCCUUAAAAAAAUGUUCAAUUCAAUUCAAUCAUACACCAUUCUACUGUUUCUCUGCUGCAAAUUGCAAUGAGGCCACUAUUUUUGUGGGGUCCCUCGGCCAUAUGAUGCCCUCUAGAUCAUGAAAACAUUACAUAAUGGUCAUUUACAUUUGAAAUUCCAUCUAAAACAUAUGCUCAUGCUAUACUAUAAUGGUCCAAUUCCAAUCCCAAGACCUCCCACAACUCCUGAUUAUUCAACCUCCAUUAUGCUUGGCAAUUGCUGAAUCUCAGUUGUCUCAAAAAUUCCAUCUCCUCAAAGCAUGGGAGUCAGAACUCCCUCUAGACCAGUUCUUGACCACCUAUGCAUGCUCAGUCCAAGCCAUGCUUUGCUACCCUUUCACUCAGGUCAAUGCAGACCUCCUCCGGCUACUUCCGGCACUCAAACUUGUUGUCAGCCCCACUGCUGGGGUCAACAACAUCGAUGUGGUCGAGUGCCGGCGGCGUGGAAUAUCAGUGACCACUUCUGGGAGUGCAUUCUCAGAAGAUGUUGCUGAUACUGCCGUAGGUUUGCUCAUUGAUGUGCAUAGAAGAAUCUCAGCAGCAGAUCGGUAUGUGAAAGGGCUUUGGACUAGCAAAGGAGAUUAUCCUCUUGGUUCCAAGGUAAUGCUAGCUAGAGAGAUCUCAUUUACUAAGUUUCUAAACCACAUAUGUACAUUAGUUGAUGGCAGUUGAUUUGUUAAUUAACAAUUAACGAUAAUAAUUGAUGUAAUAAGUACGCAUCCAUAACUCACAAAAACUGAUUAGUUCUUUAGCAUUGGGAAUUGAAGAUUUUCUUUAUUUCUUGUUGUAGUACACAAACACCCUAGUUGAUCCUCUGAUAUUUAAUGAUUGAUUGACUCUCUAUAUAUUUUAUUAUUAUUUAUGUAAUAUUAAUUGUCAACUGGUAAUUAAUUUCAGUUAGGAGGCAAGCGAGUUGGGAUUGUUGGAUUAGGACGCAUUGGCUCUGAAAUUGCAAAAAGACUGGAGGCCUUUGGGUGCAUUGUCUCAUACAACUCAAGGAGCAAAAAUCCAUCUUUAACAUACCCCUUCUAUUCCAGUGUUCAUGAACUUGCAGCCAAUACUGAUGCCCUCAUCAUCUGUUGUGCAUUGACCGACCAAACCCGCCACAUGAUCAACAAGGAAGUCUUAUCUGCACUGGGAAGAGAGGGAGUGAUUGUCAACGUUGGACGGGGGGCUAUUAUUGAUGAGAAGGAAUUGGUGAGGUUUCUGGUGCAUGGAGAGAUUGGAGGCGCUGGUUUGGAUGUGUUUGAGAAUGAGCCUCAUGUUCCAGAAGAACUCUUUGCUUUGGACAACGUUGUUCUGUCUCCACAUAACGCUGCUUUUACUCCCGAAUCUGUAGAGAGUUCGAAUCGAAUAGUUAUUGCCAAUUUGGAAGCUUUCUUCUCAAAUGAGCCUUUGGUUACUCCAUUCAUGGAUGACUAAAUUUGAUUUUAUGUGUUGUUUCCUUUAUUUAUUUUCAGACAUUUUGUUUUUGGCUGAACUCUGUUCUUGUGGAAGUAAUUCCUUGGCUUGCAAGAAGCUAUGAAUUACAAUGACUCUGAUUAUCUCAUUUGACUGGCAGUUUUCAUUGCUCUUAUUUCCAACAUUUUUCUUAAGCUUGUAAUAUCUCUUUGUCAAAUUCCUUUUGAUCAAACCUUAAUUACAAAAGUCAGCCAAGAUAACACAUGAAAUGAAUACCACAGAAAAAAGAUAAUUGAAAUCCUCUUUUGUUUAAAGUAAAUUAAAGUGGUUUUUCUGAUUGGAAAUGCCAGAUAGGAGGCAAACGAGUUGGGAUUGUUGGCUUGGGAAACAUUGGCUUAGAAGUUGCCAAAAGACUUGAGGCCUUUGGCUGCAACAUAUUGUACAACUCAAGGACAGAAAAGCCAUUCGUUUCAUACCCUUUCUAUUCUGAUAUCUGUGAACUAGCUGCUAACAGUGACGCCCUUGUCAUUUGUUGUGCAUUGACUGCUGAAACCCACCACCUGAUCAACAAGAAAGUCUCGUUAAAGCUGGGAAGAGAUGGCGUGAUUGUAAACGUAGGACGCGGAGCUAUCAUCGAUGAGAAGGAAAUGGUGCGGUGUUUGGUGAAAAGAGAGAUUGGAGGUGCUGGUUUGGAUGUGUUUGAGGAUGAGCCUGAAGUUCCUGAAGAGCUCUUUGCAUUGGACAAUGUUGUACUGUCACCACAUUAUGCUACCUACACACCAGAAUGUUUCAUGGCUUUGUGUGAACUAGUAGCAGGGAAUUUCGAAGCAUUCUUCUCAAAUAAACCGUUGCUUUCACCGGC
rnacentral:lncRNA from 1 species